rnacentral:rRNA from 1 species
GACGUAGGGUGCGAGCGUUGUCCGGAUUUAUUGGGCGUAAAGAGCUCGUAAGCGGCUCGUCGCGUCGACCGUGAAAACCCGCGGCUUAACUGCGGGCUUGCGGUUGAUACGGGCGGGCUAGAGUUCGGUAGGGGAGACUGGAAUUCCUGGUGUAGCGGUGAAAUGCGCAGAUAUCAGGAGGAACACCGGUGGCGAAGGCGGGUCUCUGGGCCGAUACUGACGCUGAGGAGCGAAAGCGUGGGGAGCGAACAGG